rnacentral:rRNA from 1 species
GACGAACGCUGGCGGCGUGCCUAACACAUGCAAGUAGAACGCUGAAGAGAGGAGCUUGCUCUUCUUGGCGGAGUGGCGAACGGGUGAGUAACGCGUAGGCCACCUGCCUGGGAGCGGGGGAUAACUAUUGGAAACGAUAGCUAAGACCGCAUAAUAUGGAUUAUCGCAUGAUAAUCCAUUGAAAGGGGCAAAUGCAUCACUACCAGAUGGACCUGCGUUGUCUUAGCUAGUGGGUGGGGUAACGGCUCAGCAAGGCGAGGAUACAUAGCCGACCUGAGAGGGUGGGCGGCCACACUGGGAGUGAGACACGGCACAGACUCCUACGGGAGGCGGCAGUAGGGAAACGGCGGGAAGGGACGGAAGACUGACCGAGAAGCGCGGAGGGAGGGCAGAAGGAUGUCGGAUCGUAGAGGUCUGUUGUAAGAUAGGAAAGAGUGUGAGAGUGGGACGUUCAGACUGUGACGGUACCUUAAGAGAAAGGGACGGCUAACUACGUG